GAUCAAAGUGUAGUAUCUGUUCUUAUCAGCUUAAUAUCUGAUAUGUGGCCCAUUGGGUCACUUCGAUAUUAAACUGAUUUUUGGACAUGGGCGAAGUGUUUGGAGCUUGCUCCGCCUUUGCCACGGGUUGGCC
rnacentral:snRNA from 1 species